GUUAGAUGGGGCAUCUUUCUUUAGAUGGGUUCAUUGUAGUUUAUUUAACUUUUGCCUUGAUUUUGAGAAUAGGACUGGAACUGAAGGGUUUUCUCUUAAUAGUAAUGAUAGCUGGCAAUCAAUUAUAUUUAAUGUUUAGGGAAUGUGUUUCUUUCCCUAAGAAUGAUUAACUUUUACUUCACAGGCCAAUAAUUCAAUUUUCUUCAAUUUCUUUAGAUAAGUUGUAAGAACAUGGAACACACACAUUGAUUCUUUGCUUCUAAAACUCUUCAAUUCUCUGUUAUGCCAGUGGAUCCUUUUCCUCUUGGUGUUGUUAUUAUUUAUUCUGAACACAAAUUCUAACCUUUUUUUUUCUUAUUCUUUUUAGAAUGAAAUAAUCCAAGCUCUGGAGUAAUUGAAGAGCAGCAAGCAGAAAAUAAGCGUUCAAUCAAAGACCACUAAAAGCACUAUGGACAUAGCACCUAAUAGAAUGAAAUAAUCCAAGCUCUGGAGUAAUUGAAGAGCAGCAAGCAGAAAAUAACCCAUCAAUCAAAGACCAAUAAAAGCAAUAUGGUCAUAUAAGCAAAUAGCAAAUUUUGAUGGAUACCAGCAUGGACAUCAAGUG